GACGAACGCUGGCGGCGUGCUUAACACAUGCAAGUCGAACGGAAAGGCCCUGCUUUUGUGGGGUGCUCGAGUGGCGAACGGGUGAGUAACACGUGAGUAACCUGCCCUUGACUUUGGGAUAACUUCAGGAAACUGGGGCUAAUACCGGAUAGGAGCUCCUGCUGCAUGGUGGGGGUUGGAAAGUUUCGGCGGUUGGGGAUGGACUCGCGGCUUAUCAGCUUGUUGGUGGGGUAGUGGCCUACCAAGGCUUUGACGGGUAGCCGGCCUGAGAGGGUGACCGGCCACAUUGGGACUGAGAUACGGCCCAGACUCCUACGGGAGGCAGCAGUGGGGAAUAUUGCACAAUGGGCGGAAGCCUGAUGCAGCAACGCCGCGUGCGGGAUGACGGCCUUCGGGUUGUAAACCGCUUUCGCCUGUGACGAAGCGUGAGUGACGGUAAUGGGUAAAGAAGCACCGGCUAACUACGUGC
rnacentral:rRNA from 1 species